GACCCGCAGCGCGAGAGGUAGUCGCUUUCAUUGAGCGUAAAGCGUUCGUAGUCGGCUUUGUAAAUCCCUGGGUAAAUUGGGCCGCUUAAGGGUACAAAUUCCGUGGAGACUGCAAGGCUAGGGAGCAGGCGAGGUCAGAGGUACUUUAGGGGUAGGAGUGAAAUCCGGUAAUCCCGAGGGGACCACCUGUGGCGAAAGCGACUGACUUGAACGGCUCCGACGAUGAGGAAAGAAGGCUAGGGGAGCAAACCGG
rnacentral:rRNA from 1 species